UUUUCAAAGUAAGGAUUGUGAGACAUAUGGUGGCAAGUUGGCAUUUAUUGACUAAAGCAAACUGGGACCCCGAACUUAUCAAGCCAUUAUCGACUGUCCUCUGGACUGUGUCAAUACAACCAUGGAGUCAAAGGGAUACCCUUCUUAGAUUAAUAUGUACCUGUGUAUUAGACCGGGAAUCGUCUGAACAACUCGUGGCCCAAUCUCUGCUUCUGUGGCUGGCUUCUGCAGGAAGAUACUAGGCCUUAUAUCUUUCUUUCAGCAAGUUUUAGUAUUUGGUUAAUUAAAGGAGCACUUCACCGGUCCGCGCAACUCUGACUCCACCCUCGGCCGCUAAACGUUUCUGGUCACACAAUGACAUGAAGUUGGGAAGUUAAUUUGGUUCUA